rnacentral:rRNA from 1 species
GAUGAACGCUGGCGGCGUGCCUAAUACAUGCAAGUCGAGCGAACAGACGAGGAGCUUGCUCCUCUGACGUUAGCGGCGGACGGGUGAGUAACACGUGGAUAACCUACCUAUAAGACUGGGAUAACUUCGGGAAACCGGAGCUAAUAACGGAUAAUAUAUUGAACCGCAUGGUUCAAUAGUGAAAGACGGUUUUGCUGUUACUUAUAGAUGGAUCCGCGCCGCAUUAGCUAGUUGGUAAGGUAACGGCUUACCAAGGCAACGAUGCGUAGCCGACCUGAGAGGGUGAUCGGCCACACUGGAACUGAGACACGGUCCAGACUCCUACGGGAGGCAGCAGUAGGGAAUCUUCCGCAAUGGGCGAAAGCUUGACGGAGCAACGCCGCGUGAGUGAUGAAGGUCUUCGGAUCGUAAAACUCUGUUAUUAGGGAAGAACAAAUGUGUAAGUAACUAUGCACGUCUUGACGGUACCUAAUCAGAAAGCCACGGCUAACUACGUG